rnacentral:lncRNA from 1 species
GAAAAAUGAUUUGGUCCAAUUUUGCAACAAUUAUUUGGUAGGUCCUUCACAAAAAACCUCCUUUUGGGCACUCGAAAAAUGGAAAAUGGUUUUUUCGUCCAAAAAAAAUGAAAACUUCCUUAGGCAACAUUGUUUGCUAUUCCAAUAUGCACCCUUGUGCACAAUAUGAGAUCAUUUGAACAAACUAUGCCAUGAAUGUGACCAUAAGAUUGAUCAUUUGGCUUGAAAACCCUGAAUCUUCACGCAUGAUAUCUCAUUUCUGAGAACACUUUAAAAAUAAUUGUCGUAUUACAAGUUUGUUAUUUUUCUUGGGAACUUGGCCACAUAUAAUGACACAAUGCGAAGGUUUCGUAAUUUUUUGAUUUUUUUGAAUUUUUUAUGCCCGUUUCAAAAUGCCGUCAAAACUAUGGGCAUGAUCGUUCCUAGCUAGUGGUUGAAUAUUGGAAAACUUUUGAUAUUUCUCUGAUUAAAUAGAUACUUUUGUACCUAAAAAUGAUUUUUGGAAAAAAUGAAGAGCAAACUAUGAGGCAGCUGCAGUUCAAAUUUGACCCGCUUCCAGCUAAACCGACGGAAAUUUGUCUUUUUCACGAGAGGUGGAUCAAAGCUUUUGACACCCAACCAUUUGGUCAAUUGUAUAUUAAAUAUGGCCUAGUAUUUUAGAAAAUUUACUUGGUCCAAUUUUGCAACAAAUAUAUGGUAGGUCCUUAAAAAAACUUAUUUUGGGCACUCGGAAAAUGGACGAGAGGUGGACGAAAAACUUUUAAGAGGGAACCUUUGGUCAAUUUCUACAUAAUACACGGUCAAAUAUUUUUAAAAAUUGUUGCGGUCCAAUUUUGUAACUAAUAUUUGAUAGGUUCUUCACAUAGGCGAAAAGAAAAAAGAGAAAUAAAAAGAAAAACACAUAUACAUAAAUUUAAUUUUCAUUGGUGGAGAUGUUUGUGCCAUGGAUUGAUGACAUGGCACACAUCCAUCCAUCCAUCCACCCACCCACCCGCAGCCCAAACCCUAAC